rnacentral:rRNA from 1 species
AGGCAGCAGGGGGAAAGGACAAGGGGGCAACCCGACCAGCGAGCCGCGGGGGAAGAAGGCCCGGGGAAUGCCCAGGGGGAAGAAGGGAGGGGAAAGCCAGACGACGGACCGACAGAAAAGCACCGGCAAACC